GGAAUUGUUCGCAAUGGGCGCAAGCCUGACGACGCAACGCCGCGUGGAGGAUGAAGAUCUUCGGGUCGUAAACUCCUGUCGAGCGGGAAGAAACCCGCGGGGGUGAAUAAUCCCUGCGGCUGACGGUCCCGCUAAAGGAAGCCCCGGCUAACUCCGUGCCAGCCGCCGCGGUAAUAAGGGGGGGGCAAGCGGUGUUCGGAAUUACUGGGCGUAAAGGGCUCGUAGGCGGCCAACUAAGUCGGACGUGAAAUCCCCAGGCUCAACUUGGGAACUGCGUCCGAUACUGGAUGGCUUGAAUUCGGGAGAGGGAUGCAGAAUUCCAGGUGUAGCGGUGAAAUGCGUAGACAUCUGGCGGAAUACCGGUGGCGAAGGCGGCAUCCUGGACCGACAUUGACGCUGAUGAGCGAAAGCCAGGGGAGCAAA
rnacentral:rRNA from 1 species